rnacentral:rRNA from 1 species
AACGAACGCUGGCGGCAUGCCUAACACAUGCAAGUCGAACGAAGGCUUCGGCCUUAGUGGCGCACGGGUGCGUAACGCGUGGGAAUCUGCCCCUCGGUUCGGAAUAACAGUUAGAAAUGACUGCUAAUACCGGAUGAUGACUUCGGUCCAAAGAUUUAUCGCCGAGGGAUGAGCCCGCGUAAGAUUAGGUAGUUGGUGGGGUAAAGGCCUACCAAGCCGACGAUCUUUAGCUGGUCUGAGAGGGUGAUCAGCCACACUGGGACUGAGACACGGCCCAGACUCCUACGGGAGGCAGCAGUGGGGAAUAUUGGACAAUGGGCGAAAGCCUGAUCCAGCAAUGCCGCGUGAGUGAUGAAGGCCUUAGGGUUGUAAAGCUCUUUUGCCAGGGAUGAUAGUGACAGUACCUGGAGAAUAAGCUCCGGCUAACUCCGUGCCACCCGCCGCUGUAA